GCUUUGCAUAGAAUGUUGUUUGCUGAUGUACUUCAGGCUCCUAUGAAUUACAUUGAAGGUAGCGAGAAAAUACUUGAAGUUGGUGGAAAGUCUGUCAGCUGGCAUAAUUUCUACGUUGCUAUGAAGGGUGGUGGUUUCAUGGAUCCUUCUGUUAUGGAUGUCUUUCUUAAGUGCGUUGACGAUGGUCUUGAUUUCUUAUUUAUUCCAAGCUCUUUGGCGCAUAUUCUUGAUGUGGACGAGGCGGACCCUAUUCAUCUUGCUGCAAGUUUUGCAGAACAUGAUCUGAAGUACUAUGUUUUGGAUAGGGAAGAGGCAUGUUUGUCAUGUUUUGUUUGGCGCUUAUAUUUUUUCUAUUACAAGUAUUGUGAAUGCUUUCUUAUUUCUCGUGGGAUUGUUUAUUUUCAAACAGGUCUACAUUGCUUGUUGCGAUUACAGCCAUUGGUGGGUUAUCUUUGUCGACAUCCAUUUCAGGAAAUUGAGAGUGUCUAGCUCACUGAAGUUGACUGAAUCUCAGAUGGCUUCUACUGAAAGAAUUUGCAAAUCAUUCAAGAAACUUUACAGUCAUCUUCAUGGUGUCGAGGGAUUAAAUAUCUCAUCGUUCAAGAUAAAAGUUUGCGGCACCCCUUCUUGUUC